UUUUCAGAAACAAAUUAUUAUAAAGAGUAGCAUGACAUGUCAAGGCAGUGAUUCAUGAGUACUGACAUUUAAUUUAAUUUUUAUGCAAAAUAAAUUAAUAGAUGGGGUUGCUAAGACUGCGAAGGAGGUUAUUGAAGCUAUAGACGACGAGAAGCUGUCAACCACCUUCAAAGUGAUUGAGGGAGACAUGAUGACCACGGAGUACAAGAGUUUCACGGCUAUCGUUCAGGCUACUCCCAAGGGAGAGGGCAGCUGCUUGUCUCACUGGACUUUUGAAUAUGAGAAGCUAAAUGAGAACGUUCCAGACCCUCAAACGCUGCUUGAGUUUUGGAUCCAUUGCCUCAAAGACAUUGAGGAUCAUCACCUUACCCAGCUACCAACAGCACAGGCAUGAAUGAUCGGUUAGUAUCAUAUGCGUGCAUGCUGCUGCUGCUGUCUUUAAUUUAAAACGUACGACCGCCGGCGUGAAUGAAUAAUAAGAAGCGGUGUGGUGGGGACAGGCCCUUGUUCUUCUAUAUUAAUGUAUGUUAGUAUGUUAAUCUAUCAAUAAACUUGUGUACGUGGGGUCUACUGAAACUCUCUCUGCGUUGCCGUGUGAUUUCAUGUAAAAAGGGCUUUGUGUGAAGUUAAUGCAUGCUUCGAUGUGUGAUUCAAGAUGUUGAAAGUCUCUCCUCCUAUCAUUUUUUAUUCUUUUCAAAAUCAAGAUCGAUUGACAGACGAAAUCAAAUCCACAAGGCCAACCGACUUUUUAGCGUAUAAAAUUAAAAAAAAUCAAUCUAUAUAAACCAGCUAAGAACCUCCUUUGCUUGUGCCCUCAUGAAACCUUACUCUGCCGUUUCAAUCAGUUGUUUAGAAGUGGAAUAGUAGUUUUUAAAGUGAUUUUUAAUUUGAAAAUAUAUUAAAAUAAUAUUUUAUUAUUUUUUAAAAUAUUAUUUUUUAUAUUAGUAUAUUAGAACGUUUAAAAAUAUUAAAAAAUAAUUUAAAAUAAAAAAUAAAUAUUUUAAAAAAUACUUUUAAAACAUAAUAAAAAUCUCUCGAUAUAUAAAUACAAUUCAAAUCUGAAAAGUCCAAAUCUUACAAUCACUCCCACCGACUGCGAGUCCCAAAUACAAAUCCCUCGACCAUUAAAUUAUUGUGAAAGUGGAUGGAUGUGACUUUCACGUGUGAUUGCUUGCAUCUUCUCUUUAUUUUUGUAAUCUAUUUGCUUUAUUUUCUACUCUCUGUUUUUUUUUAAUUCCGUGAUCGGAACAUGAGAAUCCCGUACGAAAUUGGAUGGAUCUUAAUUUGAUUUCAUGAUGGAUUAAAUCGAAUUAAACAAUGUUUUAAGAUAAUUGAUGAAAACUUUCUUUUUAUCCAGGAAUUAAUGAUGUGGGGACAAAUAGUUUGUAAAAUUGAACCCAAAGUCUAAAUAUAUUAUUUAUUUCUCAAUUAUACAUUUCGUGGAUAAUAAAGAAGCAGUGCUCGAUGUGCGGUAGCUAUGAUCUGUACUAAUGGUAAGAAAAUGCCAUUCUAUCUUUGCUUGAACAUCCCCAAUUAUCUUACGUAUCCGAUACCCUAUUAAUUAAUUAAAUGUUCUUAAAUUUAUAAUCGAGAUAAAACACAAACAGCACCACCUUUACAGCAAUCGGUUUGAAUAAAUCCAAGGGCUAAGGUCACGCUACAUACACUUUUGAAAAAAAAUAAUACUUUAAAAAUAAUAAUAAUAAAUAUUUUUUUAAACAAAAAAUACUUUAAAAAAUAACUAUUUACACUCCUAAACAUCUCACAAUGUAAUGUAUAACUUUUAGUAGGAUAAUUAUAAAAAUACAUCAUACUGUAGAAAUAUGUAAUAAUGUUUUUCAUGAUAUAGACUUGCAAAGAAAAUAAUAGGCAAAUGCCUCGUAGACUGGAUAAAUCCAGGUUCUACGAUCUUGAAACUGAACAUAAUCCAGAGAUAAAUUAUUAAUCACGGAUCGAUGUUGGAAUCAUCAUUUUUUUAAUUUAUAUCACAACCUGUACAUAUGAGCCUCAAAAGGUGGUGGACCGCCAUUCGAGUCGGCGAGGCAUCCGUCGCUUACCCAACAGUCUCCGCACGAGUCCACUUCCCAGCCUUCAAGUCGUCCCUCCUGUGCACAUGAGCCUCAAAUAGGUGGUGGAUCGUCAUUUUUUUUUUAUAUCACAACCUGUACAUGUGAGCCUCAAAUAUUUGUGAUGAUUUUGAUUCUUGAGUACAGGGCUUACCAGAAUCCAGGAAAUAACCGGUUCCUUGCUCAUCAACGACACCACUUCGGUCUACAUCAGUGCCAAAAACAAUUAAAAACCUCAACAAUAAGUAAAAUAUAUUUAUUAAUUAUAAUUUAUGAAAUAAAAAUUACUUCCACUUAACAAAAGAAUUCAAAUAUAAAUUGAAGAUUACUCAGGACUCUACUUAUCAGAAUUAUAUAAAAAAUAAUAAAAUUAUUUCUUAAAUAUUUUAAAAAAUCAUUAUUUAUAAUCUUGCUUAAGGUAUUUAUUUACCUUAAGCCGACUCUGAUUCAAGUUGCAAUGGACAUAAAAGGAGUGAAUGAAAUGAUAGUCAAGUGUGUGUUCAGUUUGGGGAAGGAGGGUGGGUGGUGGGCUAUGAAAGUUUGAGUAUAUGGUUAUAAUAUCAGAGUUUUAAUUUUUAGGCUUGCUCAAAGUAAAGGAAUAUCUUUCAUUUUAAUAUAUUUUAAAUUUUAGUUUUUUUUUCAUUAAAAAGAAAAUAAAUUACUAGGACUUUUGUUAUGUUAUGUUGUACAGAAGUUGAGUGAUGGCUUUUUUUUUUUUUUUUGCUAUUUGAGAUUGAAUUGAAUUGUUUUUAUUAAAACAUGAUUGUUUUUGCAUUUUAAAAAUAUUUUUGAAAAUAUAUUUAUUUAUUUUUUAUUUUAAAUUAAUAUUUUUUGAUAUUUUUAUAUUAUUUUAAUGUACUAAUAUAAAAAAUAAAUUUUAAAAAAUAAAAAAUAUAUAUUUUAAAAAACAAUCUGUACUUAAUAAUCUACAUCUGAGACUUUUGUUAUUUUGUUCAAAAGUUCAUACGUGUGUGUCUAUAUACAUACGUGAUAUAUAUAUACGCGCGCGCGCGCGCGUAGCAAUAUUAUCUGAUACAUGAAAAGUUUGAUAUCAUCACCAGUGCACGAUUUUUUAUGCCCUUACAUCUCUCUCUCGCCAGAUACGGAGAUUAUUAUUAGUUAUUUAAAAGAUCAUUUAUUUUGUGGACAAGCUUAUCCCCUCUUACUUAAAUGCCAAACCUGCCCAAGUUGUCGUCAGUAAUUGAAUACUUUUUCUAGGGUAGAAAUCCUUGAUUUAAUAAAUUCAAAUACCUUGUCAUCGGUAAUUUAGUGUUGGGCUACAUUCUUGUCAGGACAAGCACAUUGCAGUGGAUUUUUACUUCGACGGAGAUCAUGUUACCAAGAAGUAUUUGCAAGUGGAGUGCAUAUCUUUUGUGAUGGAUGGUAGAUAUGAUGUUUAAGAAAAAAUGGCGACGUGGACGAUGAAUACCCACGUCUUUAAAAGGAUAAAAUCCCAAAGCAUUUUCCCGACAACUGCUAUAAUUAGUGACAAAUUGAUGUCAUAUUCUAACGAACAGUGGGUAUUAAAAGAGCUUGUUCAACAAUCACAAGACAUAUCUAAGCAAUUAGGUGGACUUGGUUGGCAAAGAUACAAGGAAAUAUUCAAAUAUAUUAAAAAUUCUAAUUACUUAGUUAUUAUUAUAAAUUGAAUAAGAUAGCAAUAUUUUGAUGGAUUCAUUAAUUUUUUUUUAUUAAAAUAGUUUAGUUCUUAUUGGCCGAGCUACCUUGAAUAAACCAAAAAACUUUAUUUUAUUUUAUUCAGAUCCAAUUACUAUGUAAUUCGAUCUUUUUUCCAUUCAAUGAAAGUUUCCAGCUCCACGCUUUAAUUCUCGGGUUUGUUAUAUCUUUCUGACAAGAAUUAGACUGCAGACAUUUCAGUUAACAUGCCCUUAAAAUCUUAUUGGAUUGAGGAGCGAAUUUUAUUAUAACAAAAUGGCCACAUUUCAAAAAUAGUAAGAAUCAUCUAUGUAUUUAUGCAUAAAUGAUACAAAAAAUAUAAAAAAAGGGAGGCGGGGGAGAGAAACCCGCAAGAAAACCAACUAGAUAGAAUUAAAUAUAGAAAACCCUAAAUAAUGUAGGUCAAUAAUUGAUCUCUUCAUUUACUAGUCUAGGUGUAUAGUUAUCCCACGUCUUUAUAAGGACAAGAUCCCAAAGCAUUUUCCGUACAACUGCUAUAAUUGAUUUUGUUUUCUCAAAGCUUACACUGUUUAUAGUUUGAUUACCUACGCAGCAAAAUGACACUCUUCGGUAAGAUGGAGGCUGAAGUAGAGAUCAAGGUUUCUGCUGAAACAUUUCAUGAUAUCUUCAGCUGCAGACCACACCACAUUUCCAAUAUGAGCCCUGCCAAGAUACAGAACGUUGAUCUCCAUGAAGGUGAAUGGGGGAAGCCGGGCACUGUAAUCUGCUGGAGUUAUGUACAUGGUAAGGCUGUGACGUCAUAGAUCAUCCCUGACCGAAAACAUAUUAUGGAUUGCACUGCUCCUUAAUCAUAUAUAUAUAUAUAUAUGAUUACUAACCAUAAGUUUACAUCAUAAUUAGUCUACAAUUUUGUUUAUUUCUUAGAUGGCUUAUAGCAUGAGGAAGUGACUUGGGUUAUUUUUGUAUACGCUCGAUUUGAUCAUUAAUUCUAGAUCAGCUAUGAUCAAUCCAUUGCUGUAGAAAUUUUAUGACUUUCUGGUUGAUGAAAGGUUAACCUCAUAUACAUUUUCAGAAACAAAUUAUUAUAAAGAGUAGCAUGACAUGUCAAGGCAGUGAUUCAUGAGUACUGACAUUUAAUUUAUUUUUUAUGUAAAAAACAUUAAUAGAUGGGGUCGCGAAGACUGCGAAGGAGGUUAUUGAAGCUAUAGACGAUGAGAAGCUGUCAACCACCUUCAAAGUGAUUGAAGGAGAAAUCACCACGGAGUACAAGAACUUCAUAAUUAUCGUUCAAGCUACUCCCAAGGGAGAGGGCAGCUGCUUGGUUCACUGGACUUUUGAAUAUGAGAAGCUAAAUGAGAACGUUCCAGAUCCUCAAACGUUGCUUGAGUUUUGCAUCCAUUGCAGCAAAGAAAUUGAGGAUCAUCACCUUACCCAGCUACCAAUAGCACAGGCAU
rnacentral:lncRNA from 1 species